GAAAAUUGUAAUAAUGAAAUAUUAUUACGGUUUUGUCCUCUCUCCACAGCUUCCACUACUGUGGCGUGGAAGAUCGGUCAAAUCUCUUUCUCAGUCAUCAUCGGGAUUUUCGGAAUUAUUUAUUUUUGUUUUCAUUGAGUUGAUGUAACUUAUAAAAAGUUUUAAAUAAUAUAGUCACAACUAUUUUUCGCAACCUAAUUUCCGCCGCUCGUCAACUUCUCCGUCUUGCCAAGUUCUGACCGGCGCGUGGCGGCUCCUUUAGCGCCGGCGUCGGUCUCCUCCCCUUUUUCUUUCCUUGUAUGUGCUUUCGUCGGAUGGGGAAGCGUGGUGGUUCGACGAGUAUUUUUUGAUGCCUUCUUGGUUUCAAAUCUGCAAAAUUUUGGUGGGGGAGCUCUUAAUUGAUGGAUUCGAAGGUUAUCGGAGUUGUGAGUCGCUUCUCUGAGUGGUGUCUUGGAGCUUUUAUGGUGGAUCUACCGGAUCCUUUGCUACUGUGGUUGUUGAUGGUCAUCCUCGACGUUUGGUCUGGUUUCGUUCUUGGUGUUGGCCAAUUUGAUGGUAUUUUGUUGCUGAGCUACCUACUAGCCUAUCUUCCUUGGAGUUAGGUUCUAGGCGAAGCAAUGGAUUCGUUCUCUAGUUCUUCUCUUGCGAGGACGUCAUCAGCUUUUUGUCUUUAGGUGUGCUGAAGCUGCAUUCGACGAGUGUCCGCGUGUAAGAACUGUUGAUCUUAUUUGGCUUUUCUCUUGUCGAUUUUCAAGGUUUUUGCCUUGUCCCUAGUGCAUUUUGCUAUCUCGGUCCGGUUGGUGAGGUGUGAUGGUGCUUGUAUUUGUGUCUCUCGUAUCGGCGACUUCUUGCUUUCCUCCCUGUCGGUUUGCUACUGAUUUGAUUUCGGUGUGAGGUCUAUCCGAUCUUAUUGGUGCUUCCGGCGUUCACAGUUUCUUUGGGGAAGCUUGGUGAGAGUUUCUGGUUCCUUUGCGCAAUUUUAGUGCUUAGGUCUUUUUUCUUAACAAAUGAUCUUCUUUAGAUAUAUUGUCUCUUCUUUUGUUUUCA